rnacentral:rRNA from 1 species
CCUACGGGUGGCAGCAGUGAGGAAUAUUGGUCAAUGGGCGAGAGCCUGAACCAGCCAAGCCGCGUGAGGGAGUACUGCCCUAUGGGUUGUAAACCUCUUUUGCCGGGGAGCAAAAGCUGGACGUGUCCGGCUGUGAGAGUACCGGAAGAAAAAGCAUCGGCUAACUCCGUGACAGCAGCCGCGGUAAUACGGAGGCUGCGAGUGUUAGCCGGAUUUAUUGGGUUAAAGGGGUGCGCAGGCGGAUUUUUAAGUCAGCGGUCAAAUCGUGGGGCUCAACCCCGUCCAGCCGUUGAAACUGGGGGUCUGGAGUGUGGGAGAGGUAUGCGGAAUGCGUGGUGUAGCGGUGAAAUGCGUAGAUAUCACGAGGAACACCAGUGGCGAAGGCGGCAUCCCGGUGCACAACUGACGCUCAGGCACGAAAGCGUGGGUAGCAAACAGGAUUAGAUACCCUUGUAGUC